rnacentral:tRNA from 1 species
GCGCAUGUAGCUCAGUUGGUUAGAGCGCCACACUGAUAAUGUGGAGGUCCCAAGUUCGAAUCUUGGCAUGCGCACCA